CUUAUAUUUCCCAGCCCCUAUUCAAGAUGGAGUUGCUCUGGUUCAAAUGCCUCUGACAGUACGAUGGAUUCCAGUAGUACUGUUCGGCUCAGAAAAUAAUGUCCCAAAAUGAAGGCCUCAGAAGCAACCUCAGGAGCAAAAGAUUUUCUGACUUUGUCCUUCUCACCUGUCUCUCAGUCCCACUCUCCCUCAAGGCUAGCCACAGAAACUAGAAUCCCUUCUCCCCAAGGUCAUAAGGCCCCCAUUGCGGAAAGGGUCUUGUCUCAUACCCAGAGGAAGGAGUGCUGCACAGAGAGGCCGGGAAGAAUCUAGACAGACACAGCCGUCCAUACUUUGUUGAACCUGAGAAUAAAAAUGGACAAUCUCCCCUGUACCUCUGGGUCUUCAGUCUGGAGGCUCCGUAUAUACACGUCAAAUACAUUUGUGUGCCUUUUCUCCAGUUAA